GAAAAACUAGAACAAACCCUAGAUAAGAGAAUUCAAGAAAAAUUAUGGAAAUUUCAAGUAAUCAAGCAAAAUAAGGUAUGAUUUUUCAAUUUUUGCUUGAGAUCUAGCAUACCCAUGCUUUAUUUUCUUAUUUCCAUGGCUGAAAAUUGAGUUGGCAUGAUGAAACCCAUGAAGGCUGAAUUCUAGAGAGAAAGAGAGUUUGGUGAUGGUUUGGUUGGAUUUAAGUUAUAUGGAUGUUUUCAAUGAUUUAUGGUGUUUAGUGUAAAAAUCAAGCUUGAAAAUCACCCAUUCCUUAUGUGUUCUUCAUUGGCCAAAUUUUCUAGGGAGGAUAUUGUGGCUGAAAUUGAUGAUAUUUCAUGAUAUUUUGGUGAUAGUUGAUGUUUGGUGAGGCUAGAAAUUAAAUGGGAAAUUUUGGUGUGAAGAUCUGAAUUUUUGCUCAACGUAUAGACAUGUAUGAUUAUUGACCCGAGACUGAUAAAUUGAAUCUCAUUCACAGUCAUUGAGGUAAUUUAGGUCUAAUUAGAGUGUAAAAAGUGAAAAGAAUUGAUUUGGAGUUAAAUUGGAGAUUUUAGCCGAUUAGAUCGAGUAUAGUGUGACUUAGGUCAAAUAUCACAUUUAAGUGAUUAAUCAGACAUUUUGCAUCCCAUCGCAUGCAUUCAUUUAGAUUUAGAAAGCCUGAAAUAGUUUAUGACAAAUUGACACAAAUUAUUGAAUUUUGUGUCAUGUGUGAUGUAUAGGUGGUGAGCUAUUUGAUAAGGAUAAAGAGAUUACACCAAAGAUCGGGACAAGGAGUAUUUCUACUCCUAAUACUGUGAGUAACCUUACUAUCGUCUUAAAUAUCUAGAGUAGUUUUUAUUCGUUUUUGUGAUUUUAUAGAAAAAUGAGUUUAAAUGGUAAAUCCUUAUGUUUUAUAAGUAAAAUGUGUUUAAAUAAAAUGAUUUUAUAAAUUGUCUUGAAAUUGAAUUAUGGUUUUGAAAAUAAAGUAAUUGGAGACCACUUGAUGUGUUGUAAAUUUAUGGUUUUAAAUUAAAUGGCUUAUGACAAUAAAUGAGCAUGAAUGGCUAAACUAAUUUUUGGUGUUAGAAUUAUUUGUACUGUGUAUUCAGCUUGGAGAGGCUAGGUUGCGAUAAAUUGCCAUGUCAUGCAGAUAAAGAUUUUAUAAAUCAGGUGGUAGAUAAAAUAAUCCAUAAUUCCUGCAGAGGAGGUUCUGUGGACCAGCCUAAGAGAGGGGGCACAGAAUCAG
rnacentral:lncRNA from 1 species